AGUGAACGCUGGCGGUAGGCCUAACACAUGCAAGUCGAACGGCAGCACAGGAGAGCUUGCUCUCUGGGUGGCGAGUGGCGGACGGGUGAGGAAUACAUCGGAAUCUACUCUGUCGUGGGGGAUAACGUAGGGAAACUUACGCUAAUACCGCAUACGACCUACGGGUGAAAGCAGGGGACCUUCGGGCCUUGCGCGAUUGAAUGAGCCGAUGUCGGAUUAGCUAGUUGGCGGGGUAAAGGCCCACCAAGGCGACGAUCCGUAGCUGGUCUGAGAGGAUGAUCAGCCACACUGGAACGGAGACACGGUCCAGAAUACUACGGGAGGCAGCAGUGGGGAAUAUUGGACAAUGGGCGCAAGCCUGAUCCAGCCAUACCGCGUGGGUGAAGAAGGCCUUCGGGUUGUAAAGCCCUUUUGUUGGAAAGAAAUCCAGCUGGCUAAUACCCGGUUGGGAUGACGGUACCCAAAGAAUAAGCACCGGCUAACUUCGUGCCAGCCGCCGCCGUAA
rnacentral:rRNA from 1 species